rnacentral:misc_RNA from 1 species
GGCGUGUGAGUGGUGUUAGGAAUGUUGGGAAAGUAGGCUCCGUGCUUUCGCAUCGAACUACUGGACAACAUCCUUUUCAAGCCUCGAGCGUUGAUUCAAUGCUCGUCUGACGACCGUGUUCCUGUAUUGGAUACCCAUGUCGGAGGAACUACGCUUCUGUUCCCUUUAGUCCUCUCGGUGCCUGUUAUGGGCAUCGAGCGGAGCACGUAGUUUGAUCUUUCGAACCCAGCACGCCGAUUUGGUUGCGACGGUCGUUCGAUCGAAUCUUGUGUUCUCGGAUGCGGAAAGUUCGAUGGGUCCAAGGAUCGUAUCCUUGUGUUCGCCCUACGUGGGAAACCGUCCCUCGGUGAGAACGACGUCCGUCGUGCGCUGCGAUUCGUCCGACGCUCGCUUGAGCGGAGGAUGCUUCGCGCGUGCAUCGGCGUCCUCGGAGGAAUGCUACCUGGUUGAUCCUGCCAGUAGUCAUAUGCUUGUCUCAAAGAUUAAGCCAUGCAUG